GCAAGUCGAGCGGACCGAAGGGAGCUUGCUCCUUUAGGUUAGCGGCGGACGGGUGAGUAACACGUGGGCAACCUGCCCUGCAGACUGGGAUAACUUCGGGAAACCGGAGCUAAUACCGGAUAACACCGAAAACCGCAUGGUUUUCGGUUGAAAGGCGGCAUUAGCUGUCACUGCAGGAUGGGCCCGCGGCGCAUUAGCUAGUUGGUGAGGUAACGGCUCACCAAGGCGACGAUGCGUAGCCGACCUGAGAGGGUGACCGGCCACACUGGGACUGAGACACGGCCCAGACUCCUACGGGAGGCAGCAGUAGGGAAUCUUCCGCAAUGGACGAAAGUCUGGCGGAGCAACGCCGCGUGAGCGAAGAAGGUCUUCGGAUCGUAAAGCUCUGUUGUCAGGGAAGAACAAGUACCGUUCGAACAGGGCGGUACCUUGACGGUACCUGACGAGGAAGCCACGGCUAACUACGUGCCAGCAGCCGCGGUAAU
rnacentral:rRNA from 1 species